AGUGAACGCUGGCGGCAGGCCUAACACAUGCAAGUCGAACGGCAGCACAAGAGAGCUUGCUCUCUGGGUGGCGAGUGGCGGACGGGUGAGGAAUGCAUCGGAAUCUGCCCAUUUGUGGGGGAUAACCUCGGGAAACCGGGACUAAUACCGCAUACGACCUACGGGUGAAAGCAGGGGAUCUUCGGACCUUGCGCAGAUGGAUGAGCCGAUGCCGUAUUAGCUAGUUGGAGGGGUAAAGGCCCACCAAGGCGACGAUCCGUAGCUGGUCUGAGAGGAUGAUCAGCCACACUGGGACUGAGACACGGACCAGACUCCUACGGGAGGCAGCAGUGGGGAAUAUUGGACAAUGGGCGCAAGCCUGAUCCAGCCAUGCCGCGUGUGUGAAGAAGGCCUUCGGGUUGUAAAGCACUUUUGUUGGGAAAGAAAAGCAGCCGGUUAAUACCCGGUUGUCAUGACGGUACCCAAAGAAUAAGCACCGGCUAACUUCGUG
rnacentral:rRNA from 1 species